AGGACGAACGCUGGCGGCGUGCUUAACACAUGCAAGUCGAGCGGAAAGGCCCUUCGGGGUACUCGAGCGGCGAACGGGUGAGUAACACGUGAGCAACCUGCCCUCAGCUCUGGGAUAGCUCCGGGAAACCGGAAUUAAUACCGGAUAUGACCCUGACUGACAUCGGUCAGGGUGGAAAGGAUUCCGGCUGAGGAUGGACUCGCGGCCUAUCAGCUAGUUGGUGGAGUAACGGCCCACCAAGGCGACGACGGGUAGCCGGCCUGAGAGGGCGACCGGCCACACUGGGACUGAGACACGGCCCAGACUCCUGCGGGAGGCAGCAGUGGGGAAUAUUGCGCAAUGGGCGAAAGCCUGACGCAGCGACGCCGCGUGGGGGAUGAAUGCCUUCGGGUUGUAAACCCCUUUCAGCAGGGACGAAGCGAGAGUGACGGUACCUGCAGAAGAAGCGCCGGCUAACGUACGCGCCAGCAGCCGCGGUAA
rnacentral:rRNA from 1 species